CUUUGGGCAUUGCCUCAGGAAGGAGGAAGGCGAAAGGCAAGGGGACGAGGCUUUGCCAGCACUCAGGCGUGCAGGUGCUUCAAAGUCCUGAGAACCACAAAGUGAGACAACAGCCGCCCCUCCCCCACCCUCCGGACUACCCUAAAGCAACAAUUUCCCUCAGCUCCCACGGAAAAUACCGGACUGGGACACUGGGCCGGGGCCUAGUGCGGCCCCCGGGACUCGCCGAGGUUCGGGCCGUGUUGGCGGCAGCGGAAGGGGAAGAG